rnacentral:rRNA from 1 species
UACGUAGGGUGCAAGCGUUGUCCGGAAUUAUUGGGCGUAAAGAGCUCGUAGGUGGCCUGUCGCGUCGGCUGUGAAAACUCGGGGCUCAACUCCGAGCUUGCAGUCGAUACGGGCAGGCUAGAGUUCGGCAGGGGGGACUGGAAUUCCUGGUGUAGCGGUGAAAUGCGCAGAUAUCAGGAGGAACACCGGUGGCGAAGGCGGGUCUCUGGGCCGAUACUGACACUGAGGAGCGAAAGCGUGGGGAGCGAACAGG